CUCUAUCUUGGGUGGGCAUGGUGGUCAUAGCUACUCGAGAGGCUGAGGCAGGAGGAUUGCUUGAGCCUAGGAGUUCUGGGCUGUAGUGCCUAUGCCCAUGAGAUGUCAGCACUAAGUCACCAUGUCAAUAUGGUGAUCUCCGGGGAGUAGGGGAUCACCAGGGUGCCUAAGCCUAAGGAGGGCUGAAGCCGCCCAGGGAAACUGAAACAAGUUAAAACUGUGGUGCUGAUCAGUAGUGGGAUUGCACUUGUGAAUAGCCACUGCACUCCAGCCUGGGCAGUAUAGUGAGACCCCAUCUC
rnacentral:SRP_RNA from 1 species